rnacentral:rRNA from 1 species
UAAUACGGGGGGUGCAAGCGUUAUUCGGAAUUAUUGGGCGUAAAGCGCGCGUAGGCGGUUACGUAGGUCAGAUGUGAAAUCCCGGGGCUCAACCCCGGAAGUGCAUUUGAAACCCCGUGACUUGAGUAUGGGAGAGGGAAGUGGAAUUCCAGGCGUAGAGGUGAAAUUCGUAGAUAUCUGGAGGAACACCGGUGGCGAAGGCGACUUCCUGGACCAAUACUGACGCUGAGGCGCGAAGGCGUGGGGAGCAAACAGGAUUAGAUACCCUGGUAGUCCACGCAGUAAACGUUGUUCACUAGGUGUAGCGGGUAUUGACUCCUGCUGUGCCGCAGCUAACGCAUUAAGUGAACCGCCUGGGGAGUACGAUCGCAAGAUUA